AUGACAAUGCCGAAGAGAGCGGGUGGAAUAGGUUUUAGGGACAUGCACCUCUUUAACAUUGCUCUACUUGCCAAACAGAGGUGGAGGCUGGUCCAGAACCCAAAUAGUCUUUGUGCUAGGAUACUCAAGUCAAAAUACUACCCGAAUGGCAACCUUUUGGACACUGUGUUUGCGUCUGAUGCAUCACCCGUGUGGAAGGGAAUCGAUCCUGGGUUAGAACUCCUUAAAAAGGGUAUUAUUUGGCGAGUGGGAGAUGUGGGAGUAUCCAAAUCAAACUAG
rnacentral:rRNA from 1 species